rnacentral:rRNA from 1 species
UGGGGAAUAUUGGACGAUGGGCGAAAGCCUGAUCCAGCCAUGCCGCGUGAGUGAUGAAGGCCCUAGGGUUGUAAAGCUCUUUUAGCGGGGAAGAUAAUGACGGUACCCGCAGAAUAAGCCCCGGCUAACUUCGUGCCAGCAGCCGCGGUAAUACGAAGGGGGCUAGCGUUGCUCGGAAUCACUGGGCGUAAAGGGCGCGUAGGCGGCCAUUCAAGUCGGGGGUGAAAGCCCAGGGCUCAACCCUGGAAUUGCCUUCGAUACUGUUUGGCUAGAGACCGGAAGAGGUAAGUGGAACUGCGAGUGUAGAGGUGAAAUUCGUAGAUAUUCGCAAGAACACCAGUGGCGAAGGCGGCUUACUGGUCCGGUUCUGACGCUGAGGCGCGAAAGCGUGGGGAGCAAACAGG